AAAGCUAGAGGAUUAACAUACAUCUCCAGUGACGAGAUUAAUUGUGCAAAGCAAAAAAAGGAGAGCAAGGUAUCAACAGGCUUAGCUUGGUGCCACAUCAAUUCACAUGUUCGAAGUUUGAUCCUCAAAUGGACCAAUCUUGAAAAUAUUUUUUUGUUGAAUAAAUAUGAACUGAAGGAACCAAACAUAUAAAAUAAUUCCAAGCAAUUAAGAAUCUACAAUUGACACAUAAUCGUGGUGCUAAUAGCAGAAUGAACAUUUUUCUUAAACAAAUUUUAGAACCAACGAUAUUAAAUGGUUAACUUCUCGCUUCUGAGGUGAUGGAACUGGGUCUUCUCAUAAUGUUCAAGUACAUCCUUACCUUCUCAUCUAGGACCUGAAAGCUGAAAAGAAGCAAAAAAGAAAGUCAAAUUUGUGGUCACUGAAAAUAUUUACAAUGUAAACCAAAAAUAUAGUCUUCCCAUGACUACCUUAUCAGAGAACUUGUAUAUAUUUGAAGGUGUGUCUAGAAGACAAUUAAUUAAGUCUAAUGGUGGAUAGCGUUUUUAUCAGAAAAGUGGUUUUUUCAGUCAGCAACUGAUAAAAAAUGCAUCCUAUGCUCCAAAUGGAAUGUAAAUGCUGCAUUUUGGAGGAAACGACAUUCCAAACAUGUUAAGAAACAUGAAUAUAAGCGAAAUCCCGGAAAUUAUUAAAGAUGAUUUUACCCUUCUUGGAAGCAAGAUAAGUUCGUUCGGAUGUAGUCAAAUUCAUUUACUGUCCGACAUUAUAGUGUUACUAACAUGUUUACACUAUUAAUUAAAAUGCUAACUAAGUGGCAACUAUUCUGUACCUGUAGUUGGGUUUUCUGGAGCUCACUGAUGACAAGGGAGCAACACAUGCGACAGAAGGAGGGGGCAGGGAGUUUAGUUCAUGAUAAGCAUUCGAAAAACAGUCUUUGAUGUAUAUACGCAAGUGAUACUGCUCGACAGGGUCUUUGCUCGACUCGAACCAAUAAAUGGAGGUGCCAAACUAAAUGGGAUUUAACAUAAAAGUAAAACAAUGUCGUACCUCAGAAUCAGUGACCAAAGACCGUUGGCCAGAUGGAGAUGGAGUAGCACCAAUUCCCAAACAUCUACAAAUCCGCUGCUUUGAUCUGAAGGUAUUUUCUAAUUUUUAGAAGUAGGAAUCGCAUGAAAAGUCACCUGAAAAGGAGCAGCAUAGGAACUUAUAGCAAAAGCUGAAGGCAUGGCAAUUCUGGGCAGCAUUCAUGGUGCUGUUGGAACAACAUGUGAGUGCAAGCAUGAUAUUGAAGGUGCUAUGCCGUUGCAUCUAUUUAAUAAAAUGUGCAAAGCUAAUUAACCUUGAAAGAUCCGCUUGUUGAGUUCAUCCUCUACAUAUCUAUACACGCAAUUUAUUCAGGUAAAAAUCCAUUUUCUUUAACACUGAAAGAAUCAUAAAAAUUGAUUGACUUAAAUGUAGUAUCAUGAGACAGAGGAAAGGAGGAUCGCUUUGCUUACCUGACGAAGACGGACGAUGAACCAUGCGUCGGCGCGUUGGCCAUGGCCUUGUGUAGGUCGGCGACACGGAUCUGCGUUCCCACUACCACGUACAGGUCGGAGCUCUCCCGUCGCGUCACUGGUGGGGCUUACGUUGUUGGCCUGCUCAUAAGAAUGAUUUCUUCAGUUCAUAAAAUAAUUGGCUUCAGUAGACAAAAUAAUCAAUUUAUCAAUUAUCUUAUAAAGUUAAUACCAACCAAUCAGUAUUGUUAUCUCGUCGCUCCAACUUUUUAAUCUACUCCAUGAUGAUAUUCUUAUAGAAGGCUUUAGAUUGCAUCUUCUGUAGGCAGUAACAACACCAAUAAUCACAAAAACAAGCAGGAGAGCACCGGUUGCGAUUUCCAAAACAGUAAGCCAAAGUCGGUUGCUGCACUUUAUCAUGCUUAUGCUCAGAAGCGGGACAAUCAAAUCCAUUUAAAUUAGCAGCUGUAGACGCACCUAACACAUGAGUACAUCUCAGUAGAUGGAAGUUUAAGAUGAUCUUAGGCCACUACAAAGUGCUAGUUAUACAGUAACUAUUCCCUAGUAUAACACAUAUUGGUGCUGCACGAGUUUCAACAUAAGAUUUUGCAUAAGUAUCAAAACUAUCCUCUGUAGCUUAUAUGGGUAACUUGGUAGGAGUAUUAGUUAGUAGUCAUCACGGAUUGGAAGGAGGUCUACAACAUUACCUUGCUCUGAAGUGGAUUUGAGUUUCACUCGCUCCCUUCCGAUCCUCCCGAGGAGAGGCACUCCUCACGCGGGAGACCAGUGCCCUCGCACAGCUGCACCCCUGUCGCACCCUUCCUUGUUCCCCGUCCUUCUUCUCCUACCUACCCUCCUCCCUGGAUCCUCCUCUGUCUCUUUUUUCUCUCAGAAAAAUCGAAGCCCCGCCAUGACCUUGGAGAUCUCCCUGCCAGCCAUGGAGGCCCGCCUCCACCUGCAAGUACUUCGCGCCGCCGCGCCGGAUCCCUCCUUCUACCGCGCCCGCCGGAUCCCGCCCCGUUGUUCUGCAUCAAGCAGGCGCGUCGUCCCCAGCCGCCCGAGCCAUCACGUUGACCUGAUCCAGAAGCGGCGCUCGACCGCCGCAGCGGAGGCGGCGAGAGG
rnacentral:lncRNA from 1 species